CGUAACUAUAACGGUCCUAAGGUAGCGAAAUUCCUUGUCGGGUAAGUUCCGACCCGCACGAAAGGCGUAACGAUUUGGGCACUGUCUCAACGAGAGACUCGGUGAAAUCAUAGUACCGGUGAAGAUGCCGGUUACCCGCGACAGGACGGAAAGACCCCGUGGAGCUUUACUGUAGCCUGAUAUUGAAAUUCGGUACAGUUUGUACAGGAUAGGUAGGAGCCUUAGAAGCGUGAGCGCUAGCUUACGUGGAGGCAUUGGUGGGAUACUACCCUAAUUGUAUUGGAUUUCUAACCCGCAGCACUUAUCGUGCUGGGAGACAGUGUCAGGCGGGCAGUUUGACUGGGGCGGUCGCCUCCUAAAGAGUAACGGAGGCGCUCAAAGGUUCCCUCAGAAUGGUUGGAAAUCAUUCAUAGAGUGUAAAGGCAUAAGGGAGCUUGACUGCGAGACCUACAAGUCGAGCAGGGUCGAAAGACGGACUUAGUGAUCCGGUGGUUCCGCAUGGAAGGGCCAUCGCUCAACGGAUAAAAGCUACCCCGGGGAUAACAGGCUUAUCUCCCCCAAGAGUUCACAUCGACGGGGAGGUUUGGCACCUCGAUGUCGGCUCAUCGCAUCCUGGGGCUGUAGUCGGUCCCAAGGGUUGGGCUGUUCGCCCAUUAAAGCGGUACGCGAGCUGGGUUCAGAACGUCGUGAGACAGUUCGGUCCCUAUCCGUCGUGGGCGUAGGAAAUUUGAGAGGAGCUGUCCUUAGUACGAGAGGACCGGGAUGGACAUACCUCUGGUGUACCAGUUGUCGUGCCAACGGCAUAGCUGGGUAGCUAUGUAUGGACGGGAUAAGUGCUGAAAGCAUCUAAGCAUGAAGCCCCCCUCGAGAUGAGAUUUCCCAACUUCGGUUAUAAGAUCCCUCAAAGAUGAUGAGGUGAAUAGGUUCGAGGUGGAAGCGUAGCGAUACGUGGAGCUGACGAAUACUAAUCGAUCGAAGACUUAA
rnacentral:rRNA from 1 species